rnacentral:rRNA from 1 species
UACGGAGGGUGCAAGCGUUAUCCGGAUUUACUGGGUUUAAAGGGUGCGUAGGUGGAUAAUUAAGUCAGUGGUGAAAUCUUCAGGCUUAACCUGGAAACUGCCAUUGAUACUAUUUAUCUUGAAUACUUUGGAGGUAAGCGGAAUAUGUCAUGUAGCGGUGAAAUGCUUAGAUAUGACAUAGAACACCCAUUGCGAAGGCAGCCUACUACACGAUCAUUGACGCUGAGGCACGAAAGCGUGGGGAGCAAACAGG